UUGACUAAAGCCAAAUAGAGGCAGGUCUCUGUUAAAGGCCAAAUUGAAAAAAUCUAGUCAUU
rnacentral:tRNA from 1 species